rnacentral:rRNA from 1 species
UGGCGGACGGGUGAGUAAUGUAUGGGAAACUGCCCGAUGGAGGGGGAUAACUACUGGAAACGGUAGCUAAUACCGCAUAACGUCACAAGACCAAAGAGGGGGACCUUCGGGCCUCUUGCCAUCGGAUGUGCCCAGAUGGGAUUAGCUAGUAGGUGGGGUAACGGCUCACCUAGGCGACGAUCCCUAGCUGGUCUGAGAGGAUGACCAGCCACACUGGAACUGAGACACGGUCCAG